rnacentral:rRNA from 1 species
CCUUCGGUGGAAUCGGCUCCUUUCAGCGAAGCUGUUGCCGAGAGCAAUAGUGCAAAGUGCUUGGGAGAGUGUGUAAGUAAGUUAUUAGUUUAGACAAUUUCUUAAAGGAUGUUUCCUUAAAGAUUACCAAACAUUAAGUUUGGGGUUUUCAAGCAAACGACUUAAAAAAAUUUUAUAGAUCAUUUUACUGUGUCUACUUCCUUUAAAAAACUGUUUCUCCAAAAUACUAUUACACUAUAAUGCUACAAAAUAUAGAAUAAAACUUCAAAAACGCUGGAUUUCUGAGAUAAAAGCAGUUCACUCUAUUUUAAUUAAAUCUUAUAUUGUAAUAGGUAUAAUUGAAGCUUACUUCUGAGAGUAAUGUUCUCAGGAAACAAUGUAAAAAAUACUUUGAAAUUAUUGUAAGGUAGAGAAAAUAUAAUCACUCAGAAAAUGAUAUAGUCCGUUUGUUUUUUUGAUAAUAUAUAAAUAUACUUAGUUCUUAAUACAUAUUAGUAAAAAACAAUGACCCCUGUAGUCCACGCCCUCAACAAUGAAGAUUCAGUAUCAGAAACUCUAUCUCUAAAUAUGAAUAGAUUCUAGGGUUUUUGGUGCUUUAGCUAACGCGUUAAAUCUUCCGCCUGAGGAGUACGACCGCAAGGUUAAAACUCAAAGGAAUAGACGGGGGCCCAAACAAGUGGUGGGAUAUGUGGUUUAAUUCGAAACAACGCGCAAAACCUUACCAGCCCUUGACAUCAAAUUGAAAACUCUUUUUAUCGAGAGUGCAUACAUUUGACAGGUGUUGCAUGGCUGUCGUCAGCUCGUGUCGUGAGAUUUUUGGUUAAGUCCUUUAACGAGCGUAACCCUUUUGUCUGGUUGCCAGUAUAACUAGUAUAUUAUAUGCACUCCAGUCAGACUGUCGGUGAUAUACCGAAGAAAGGUGAGGAUCACGUCAAGUCGUCAUGACCCUUAUGGGCUGGGCUACACACGUAUCACAAUGGCGAUCACAAAAGCAAGCAAUGAUGCGAAUCGGAGCGAAUGCUCAAAAAUCGUCUCAGUUCGGAUUGUUCUCUGCAACUCGAGAACAUGAAGUUGGAAUCACUAGUAAUCGUGGAUCAGCACGCCACGGUGAAUCUGUACCUGGGCCUUGUACUCCCCGCCCGUCACGCUCUGGAAAUUCAGUGAAUUGGAAAAAUAUUGAAAAUAGUAAAACAGAAAAAUUAUAUGACUUAGUAAAAGAAAUUUAGGUUUUCUCUGUUUAUUUAAUUUUCAAUAUGUCAAAAUUUGUUGAGUAACUGGAGCGAAGUCGUAACAAGGUAGCCGUAGGGGAACCUGCGGCUG